rnacentral:rRNA from 1 species
ACUCAAAUGAAUUGACGGGGGCCCGCACAAGCGGUGGAGCAUGUGGUUUAAUUCGACGCAACGCGAAGAACCUUACCUACUCUUGAAUCCUAAGAAGUUUGCAGAAAUGCAGAUGUGCCGCAAGGAACUUAGAGACAGGUGCUGCAUGGCUGUCGUCAGCUCGUGUCGUGAGAUGUUGGGUUAAGUCCCGUAACGAGCGCAACCCUAAUUUUUAGUUACCAACAGGUUAAGCUGGGGACUCUAGAAAGACUGCCGGUGAUAAGCCGGAGGAAGGUUAGGACGACGUCAAGUCAUCAUGGCCCUUAUGAGUAGGGCUACACACGUGCUACAAUGGGUGUUACAAUUGGAAGCGAAACCGCGAGGUGGAGCAAAUCUAUCAAAAGCACUCGUAGUCCGGAUUGGAGUCUGCAACUCGACUCCAUGAAGCUGGAAUCGCUAGUAAUCGUGGAUCAGCACGCCACGGUGAAUACGUUCUCGGGCCUUGCACACACCGCCCGU